AGUGGCGGACGGGUGAGUAACGCGUGGGUAACCUGCUCAUACAGGGGGAUAACAGUUAGAAAUGACUGCUAAUACCGCAUAAGACCACAGCACCGCAUGGUGCAGGGGUAAAAACUCCGGUGGUAUGAGAUGGACCCGCGUCUGAUUAGGUAGUUGGUGGGGUAACGGCCUACCAAGCCGACGAUCAGUAGCCGACCUGAGAGGGUGACCGGCCACAUUGGGACUGAGACACGGUCCAA
rnacentral:rRNA from 1 species